AAAGGUGUGCUAAUACCGCAUAAUCUCUCAGGAGAAAAGCAGGGGAUCGCAAGACCUUGCGCUUUAGGAGCGGCCGAUGCCUGAUUAGCUUGUUGGUAAGGUAAAAGCUUACCAAGGCUUCGAUCAGUAGCUGGUCUGAGAGGACGACCAGCCACACUGGGACUGAGACACGGCCCAGACUCCUACGGGAGGCAGCAGUGGGGAAUUUUGGACAAUGGGGGAAACCCUGAUCCAGCCAUGCCGCGUGAGUGAAGAAGGCCUUCGGGUUGUAAAGCUCUUUCAGCCGGAACGAAACGGUUACGAUUAAUACUCGUAAUUAAUGACGGUACCGGCAGAAGAAGCACCGGCUAACUACGUGCCAGCAGCCGCGGUAAUACGUAGGGUGCGAGCGUUAAUCGGAAUUACUGGGCGUAAAGGGUCCGCAGGUUGUUUUGUAAGUCAGAUGUGAAAGCCCCGGGCUUAACCUGGGAACUGCGUCUGAAACUACAAGGCUAGAGUAUGGCAGAGGGGGGUGGAAUUCCGCGUGUAGCAGUGAAAUGCGUAGAUAUGUGGAGGAACACCGAUGGCGAAGGCAGCCCCCUGGGUCAAUACUGACGCUGAGGGACGAAAGCAUGGGGAGCAAACAGGAUUAGAUACCCUGGUAGUCCAUGCCCUAAACGAUGUCAACUAGUUGUCGGGCCUUUACGGGCUUGGUAACGUAGCUAACGCGUGAAGUUGACCGCCUGGGGAGUACGAUCGCAAGAUUAAAACUCAAAUGAAUUGACGGGGACCCGCACAAGCGGUGGAUUAUGUGGAUUAAUUCGAUGCAACGCGAAAAACCUUACCUACCCUUGACAUGUAUCGAAGCCCGCAGAAAAGCGGGGGUGCCCGAAAGGGAACGAUAACACAGGUGCCGCAUGGCUGUCGUCAGCUCGUGUCGUGAGAUGUUGGGUUAAGUCCCGCAACGAGCGCAACCCUUGUCAUUAAUUGCCAUCAUUUAGUUGGGCACUUUAAUGAGACUGCCGGUGACAAACCGGAGGAAGGUGGGGAUAACGUCAAGUCCUCAUGGCCCUUA
rnacentral:rRNA from 1 species